rnacentral:tRNA from 1 species
GCGAGGGUAGCCAAGUCUGGUCAAAGGCGCAAGGCUUAGGAAUUGUUAAGUGCGAAGCUCAGAAGCCAGACAAGUGAAAGACGCCAAAGCGUCAGUUCGCAAGUUAAGAUACCUUGUCGGUUAGUCCGUUCGGCGGUUCGAAUCCGCCCUCUCGCA